rnacentral:tRNA from 1 species
GCCUCACCCAGUAUGGUGGUUAUGACACUCGGCUUGUAAUUGAGUGGGCUCGGGUUUGAAUCCUGAGUAAGGCA